UACAGAGGUGGCAAGCGUUGUUCGGAAUUACUGGGCGUAAAGGGCGCGUAGGCGGCCACGCACGUCCGUUGUGAAAUCGCCCGGCUCAACUGGGCGGGGUCAGCGGAUACGGUGUGGCUCGAGCAAGCUAGGGGGCAAUGGAAUUCCCGGUGUAGUGGUGGAAUGCGUAGAUAUCGGGAGGAACACCAGUGGCGAAGGCGGUUGCCUGGAGCUUUGCUGACGCUGAGGCGCGAAAGCGUGGGGAGCGAUCCGG
rnacentral:rRNA from 1 species